CAGGGAGGUGCCGGGGGAGCGGGGCUUCUCGUCGCUUUGUGCACGGGCGCGGCGGGGAAGCAGGGUGCGGCGAGGAGCAGCCGGCAGCAGCCGCGCACCUGGCUGCCGCGGGGCUCCUCCCGCCGCCGGCAGCGAGCUGUGCCUCGGACGGCGCGGAAACCCCCUGAGGGCCCCGCUCCUCACUGCAACUUUUAUUUACGCACGGUACCAAAACAUCAGCGGUGACGUGAGAUCCUUAUAUAACCGUGCCGAGGAGGGGCUGUCUACCGGCACAUCGCUCUGCUAGCACACACGCGCUGCGUUCCAGAUUGCUGCCGUCUGGAAAAAUCCUCCUGCGACCGUAGAGCCGGGGCACCGCACAGCGCUGAGCCCGCGGGCCGUGCUGUGCUGCUGGGUGCGCUGCCCGCCUCAGUGCCACAGCCCCGCGUCCCCAGCGCGCCCUUGGCACGGCUGCACGAGGGUAUUUCAUUCUCAGUGCCGGGCUUUGUCAGCCUUGCCUCUGUGCCUCUUCAUGGCUCCGUGGAAAGGAGAAAGGGCCUUGAGUUAAAUGGGAGCACUUCGCGGUGAAGGUGCCUCAGUACAGCGCGUAGAGCUGACGGACGUGGUGGUCCCACAGAGAGAGCCGAAGGAGGGACGCUGCAGCUGGAGCAAGCUCCCAGACUGCAGCAGACCCCAUUCUGCCUGCUCCUCCCUUGGUGGCAGCUCGGCCCUCCUACGUGGCUAAUGGCAAGGCCUCACAGCCGUGAGGUCCUGCAGGCCUGUCCCACCUCUGGGAAUGGCUGCCCUCAGUUGUGCUUGGCAUGCAGGAGGCACAGCAGCAGCUGAAAGCUCUCCUCUGUGAUUUGCGUUCUUGCACUCAGCACAUCUCAGAAAAGCUAGGAAACAACCUUCUGGUUAAUCUUUGUGCAACACUACAGUUAUCUGCAGAGGGUCUCUUUCAGAAAGGCAUGGUAUAAUAACAACACUGCUUUCCAGAACAAUCCUUUAUUCAUCCAAUAAAGACAAGAAGGUGCUUCACUUUGGCAGAGAACAGCAUCAACAUGACAGCACUCAAAACCAGUUGUGUUUCUGAGUGGAAUACUUUAUUCCAGCAAGGAGUCUGUUAUUGGCUACAGUCCCAUGGAGGACUUCAAACAACUGAGGUGUCAUUACCAUGGUAGGAUGAUGGCCAAGAAGCAAUGGUAAUAUUCUUGGUUUUGGGAAGGCAUUUAGGAGCUGUUAAUAGUCCAAGCUCCAUCUCACAUCUAACCCACAACCACCGCUUGCUGGAGCUAUGUAGCCACGAGGGUAACCUCACCCCGAUCAGAUAGGUUUCAAUAAUGUUAGAUGAAAGAGAGCAUAAGAUUACUGAUACCUUGCAAAGUUGUUCAUCUCUCUGGUCCUUCUGAACACAGACAGCAAAGAAAAAGGUCUCCUUGACCUUCUGCAUGGUGAAUCUACCUGAAAAAGCAAUGUGGAUAAAUAAGCUUCUCAGAAGCUAAUGUAUAAACUAGAAGUUUUUGUGUAAUAGCCCUAAGGGUUAAAUGAAUGCUUCCUGAAGCUAUUCUAUCAGAAACACAUAAUUUAGUCAUUGAACCUCUGUGAAGUAUAAUUAAAAGAAAGGAUUGAGUUUGUAGAAAAGAAGUCUAACUCUGUUCUUGAAAUACUCAAGCUGUGAAAAUGAUUGGAAAAUGUUUAAAGUCCUUUCUCACAGCUUAAUUAAGAUUCACUUUUCAACUGGAGUAAGACAUUGGAAGGAAAAUCAAUGACUUUAUCAUAUGUAUGUUGGAUAUAAACAGAAAGAAAAACACCUUGGAAAUAUGUCAGCUUUAUUGUGUUUGCAUACGUAAACAUAUUUAAUAUGCAAUCGAGUGUGUAUUUGUCAGCAAACACUAGCACUAGGUAAAGUAUUUGCACAAAUAUGCUAUUGGUAUUAAUGGCUAUUUACACUUGCCUUGCCUUUCAGCAGGUUCAGCUGCAGAAAUAGCAGCAGGUCCAACAGCUAACGUUGCUGUACAUUUGUCUGAAUUCCUCAUACUUAGAAUGUCAGGUUUCCUCCAUAGGCAGGUGAGAAAUUAGGAACUUAUUUAUAAACAUGUCCAGGAGUUAUAAUUACUAACAGACAAUACAGAGGAUUACAUUCUUUAAUACCUUGCUUUCUAUACUAUAAUAUACUCACGAUGUAUCACUCAGUCAAAACAUAUACUCAUAUUUUCAUUCUGCUCUUUCUGGGCAGAUGCACUCUUGUGAUAUUACAGACUCGGAUUGUCCCUCUGGCACAUGAAGCACAGCACAGCAUGUUGGGCACAGGAGCUGGAGAGAGAAGAGACCAAAAUGCUGUCCUGUGCUUCCCAAUUGAAGAACGGAGCUUCUUGAAGCUAUUUCACUCUGUUGCUGUUUGGGCUGAGCGCUGCAGUGACAACAAUCUGGCUCACACUGAAAUUUGAAAAGUUGUUUGUGCUUACCGUGCUUAGAAUGGAUGUGCUCUGCAGGAGAAUGCACCAAAUGGCUGACUCAUUUGUUUCAAGAGAUGCCAUGUGAAUGAGGUGGGACCAUGAAGGAAGCGGUGUUACAAGGGUAAGGCAAACCUCUCAGACAAGAAUCAGUUCAAGAACCAGGGUGGUGGAAGUCUUUGCAACAAGGAAGUUAAGAACAAUUUUACCGACAAAAUUCAAGUGAGCUACACUUGCUGGAGAGAAGCAGUUACCCUGUAAAGAUUUUUAAAGCCAAUGCAACUUGAAAGAUUUUUGAAAAGUCACAAUGGUCCUUUUCUACAAAUACAAAGUUAACAAAAAGUCUGGGUCAUCCCUUUCUUUCACUGAAAAGAAAAAAACAUUACAGUGCACCUCCUCAGAGUGUGCUAUACGAAGAACAAACGGCUGUCGUACGCAGCCUAAAGUUCAAAGGCACAACAGGGUAUAGUACAGUGAGAGGAUACAUAACAGGCAGAUUUUUGUGUGAUGCCUCAUGCAUCUCCAGUAUAAUGCUGUUCUGAACAUAGGCGGUGACCUGUGUUCUAUUCUGUCUGUACACUUAUACUCUGUAUAAGGAAAAGUAUUUCCUAGACGACAAUAACUGGAAAAAAUACUCUGAAAUAAAAUUAAACAACAACUAAACAAGCAUCAAAAGCAACAACAAAAUUAAACUGAAAAAAAAAAAAAACACACCCAAGAAAAUGGAAGCCAGGAACAAAGGAAUAAUGCAGCUCUCGGCCACAUGAAAGCUCUCACACAGUUCUGCAAAGAGGAAGGAAAGCAGAAUUCAUUACCAGAAGCUCAUUGUACCAGGGCUCAGGGCAACCACAUCACUGAUGAAGGGAGAGAAGGGGGAAUAGUGGCACAGCUGGUUGCACUUUGGUAAUGAAGAAGAGUAAUGUUUCAAACUGGAAAAUGCAGUUUAAGAUGGGAGUACACAGCAUGACACACCCAAAGAUUGCCACAAAGUUUUAGUUAUUUUUUGUUUGUUCUUUUUAAUUUUUUCUUUCUUAUGACCUAUUUAGCCAAACUGCAUAUUCAACUUUCAUUGUUUCCUAAAUUGAGAAGUCUGGAACUGAACUGCAUGGCUGAAGCACAACUCAGAAAUUACAGGUGAUACCUUACCUAAUGCAGACCAUGAAAACUGAAGUGCUCACUGUCUGACAUACAGUAAUUUAAAAUACUCUUUGGAGGUCAUUCUAGUUGAGGCGUGAUAUUUUUUCCUGUCUCAGCCGGCUGUUUAUCAGUGUAUCAGUAGGUGGCAGUCAUAGAUGAUCCUGUACAAUUUCUGCUUCAUGAAAGAAAUUUAGGAAGGAAAAAAAAGCCUAUUUUGGGGUAAAGUUGCUCCUUUUGUGUGUUCACAAAUAGUGAGUGGUGAAAAUCUGCUUCACGCCCUCAUAAAUACAUCUUCCUAUAACAGACAGAAGAGUUCUUCCCGUAACAGUUCUGGUAUUUUUAGAUGUACUCAAUUUAAUCGUGCCAUAGUCCUGAAUUAAAUUAGAUGCAAAUACACAAUGUAUAUUUCAAAUACCAUUCUCCCCAAAGAUUAAAUAUGCAGAUGCCUUUAACAUUUCAUAUAGCACUUACUUUGGUAAUUUUGCCUGCUGUUUUUCACGCUUUCUAGUACUAUUUAAGGCAGUGUAAUGACGUAAACUCAUUAUUAUUACUUUUCAGUACAAGAAACCUCUAUUUCUUAGGAACCACCCCUACCCCCACAUCUCCUCUAGUCUCUUUGAAGAAACAAAUCCAGCUUCUGAUGCAAACCCCAAGAUGAGCCAUAACCGUGGCAUUUUCUAGGACAAUAUGGAUACAGAUUUUUAUCUUUGUACAAAAAAGAGAUAGGAAAACCAAUACAUCAGGUCUUUUCAAAGUCCAUUUUUUGUUCCUCCUUUCACAAAAGAAAUUCAACUGGAUAAACAAUUGCUGCAUUAAUGUUCCUAACUGUUCUUUCCUUCUGCUAGAGUUAAUGGUAUUGUUGUAAGUCAUUGCAAUAAAACAUCAUUGUCCCAUUAUUCGCUGACAGGUUCUUUGUUACAAUGCCUCUCAGAACCUGUUGGUAACAGCUCCUGCAUUUACCUUUGUGUCACUGACAGCAAAGUUUGUAUUUAUUUUCAUCUGUAGUGUGAUACAGAAUGGCUUAACUUAAAUUUACCUUCAUUUGUUCAUCUCCUUUCUCCAUAGUGUUGUGGAGCCGAGCUUAAAAAUCCUACCUACUAUCAGUAGCCCAGCAGCCCGCUGCUCAUUUAAUGCAUGGUGUAGGAAACAAAGAAGAGGAACUUGAUAUACAGUAGAGUAGAAAAUAGUUUCAAUAUUGAAAUAAUUACAUUCUCAGUUCAAUAUAAAACAAGGAGAUUAAUCUAAGGAAUGCAAAGCAGCCAGCCCCACAGAUGAUAUUGAUACAUAAUAAUUUACUGUUAAUCUACCCUUGGGAAGUCUUAUUUCAUCAGAGCACAAACAUGAGGAAGAAGGAAUGUGAAGAGGCUUGCUAAUAAUGUCAAAAUGUUCUUGAAUCCAACUUCUGUUCCAAGUUUCUCAUUCCAUGAGAUGACAGCUGCAACUCACACUGUUAACACCAAACAUGCAUUUGUUCCCCGGGCCUGAAAUACACAAGUAACAAGUCUAACAACAUAUGAAAUAAAACUCUUGAGAGAGAUGAAUGCAACACUGGAAGGGUACCUGGCCUGGUCUUGUUCUCACUGGAGUUACUGGGAACCAAAUCAGACAGUUUGAUGAGGAUAAAAACUCACUGCUUCUGCCUUUAGAAAACCUGGACAAAGCCAUAUUCUGGAGGGCUGGUUUUUUUAUUAUUUUUUGAAAACAUGUUGUACUUUGUGAAAGAGCAUUUAUUUAAUUUUAGAAAAAAAAACUUCAAGAACUUUUAGGUAUUUGUUUGUAGAGUUUGAGGUAAAGUGAGCAUGAAACUCAAAUAUCAAUAGCAGAGUAUCUAAAUCAAAUGUCAAAGCAGCAAAGAAUACAAUAACGACAAGGACAUUUUAUGGUUUGGAGGAGUUAGGGGAAAAGACAUUCUUUAAAAUGUUGAUUUUUGGACCAAGUUGGCAUAAAAAAGACAGAUGAUGUCCUUUUCAUCAGAGUGACAAUAUUCUGAUGGUGUUGAUGGUGUUCUAUAAUAAGGACGUAUAUCCCUAUGUGAUCCAAAGAUGUUAUAUCAAUUAUUUUGAACUGCUUAUCUUCUAGGUUUAUUUUUAACAUUUUUUCCCCAGCAGUUUGCUGGUAGUAUAUGUUCAUUCAAGGAACUAGCAAAUAAGGUGCAAUGAUACUAGAGAAGGCUUUCCUGUUUUCCAACAAAGCGUUACGCUUAUACGUUUUAACUUCUUCAGGUACAUUAUAGACAUCUGCUAUAAUAAAUACACAAUUUACAGUACUCAGUGUGUCUCCUUCCUUAACAUCAGAAGCACGAAGCCACCCUAAUAGAUAAUUUUUCUUUUAAACUCAUGAAAUGAUGAAAGAAACCAAAAACAUGGGAAGCCAGCUAUUAAACUUAUAAGGGAUUCAGUACAUUCACAACGACUUCGAGAAAAGCUUUUUUUCUUCUCUUUUUGCAGAAAAAUCUUACGUCCAAACCAAUCAGUCACCUUUUCUGAGAAACACUGAAUUUUUGCAGAUACAGCUCUUAAAAUGAGUGAUGUUCGAAGCUAUCGCGAAAUGCUUCAGUCUCAAGACCUCAGAUGUUAAUUAGAAGAAGAAAGCAAGCUAUUUGCACUACUGUAAUAAGCUGUGGCAAUUUUGUUAUCUUAGACGAGAGUGUUAAUGAUGAGCCACAAAUGCAAGUUUUUACAAAGCCUCUGAGAAUUAAGCAGUGUGUCCUAUAUUCCUCUCCCUUGCUGUUCCAGUGAAAACCAUACAUGCAGAAGAACAAAUGAAAAUGUUGUCAUGGUGAUCAGAGCAGUUACUGAAUCAUUUACCGUGUAGGAAGGAUUCCCUAAAGAACCUUAUUAAGCAUUUUGUUGCUCCUUUUUAACAAAUGUUUUCAGAAAGCCAUUUUUAUUUCACUGUUGAUGAAAUAACGACUCAGUAAGACAAAGCCUGUUUCUCUACCCUCCAAAAUAAAGCUGAGCAUGACAAGCAUCAAGAAAUAUUCUUGUUAAAAGUUAGGAGUGGGAACCAAGACAGAACCUAAAUAAAAAGAUCUACUCGUGACAUUUGAAUGUUUUUCAGAAUAGUUAUUGUGAAACAGCUCUGCGCUAACUAGACUACUGAUGUCCUCAGCUGGCGAAUGAAUAAACAAACCUUUAAAUGAAAGGCAUCAUGAAAAUCUAUUGGUUACAAGGAAUAUGAUUUUUUACGAUAAUACUACUAUAAUACGCGAAAUGUUAUUUUUCAAAAAUAUUUCACAAUCAAACAUGUAGGUUCGGUGUUUGAUCUGGUGAAGGAGCUAGCCUGCAGCAGAACCCCAGUCCAAACCCACCUGUGUGCGCUCUAGUAGAUGAACGCAGGGUGGCUGCAUCAUAUUUUUCAAGUUAUUGGCAAAGAAAGCUAAACCUGACCAAUGAAGACAUCUUGUAUUUCUCCUGCACAAAACAGUACAACAGACAUUGAUAGAAAAUGCUAAAAAUACAUUGAGAGGCAAGAAUGUGCACUUUGGGUUAAAUGCAAACUUCAUUCAACAAACUGCCAAAUUUUCAGCUUCUAAAUUGAAAAUGUAAGUAUAUCACAACACUCUGAGUACCUCAACUUGUCUUUGUCUUGCAGGUACUUAUGGCACAGUGUCAGCGGUUUACGGGUGUUUGGCAUGGUGGUCUCGAUGUGUAUUCUGGAACAACCUUGUUUUACUAUUGC